rnacentral:rRNA from 1 species
UACGGAGGGUGCAAGCGUUGUCCGGAUUUAUUGGGUUUAAAGGGUGCGUAGGUGGCCUAUUAAGUCAGUGUUUAAAGUCUGCAGCUUAACUGUAGGAAUGGCAUUGAUACUGAUAGGCUUGAGUAAAGUUGAGGUAGGCGGAAUUGAAGGUGUAGCGGUGAAAUGCAUAGAUAUCUUCAAGAACACCGAUUGCGAAGGCAGCUUACUAAGCUUUAACUGACACUGAGGCACGAAAGCGUGGGGAUCAAACAGG